rnacentral:rRNA from 1 species
UACGUAGGGUGCGAGCGUUGUCCGGAAUUACUGGGCGUAAAGAGCUCGUAGGCGGUUUGUCGCGUCGUCCGUGAAAACUUGGGGCUCAACCCCAAGCUUGCGGGCGAUACGGGCAGACUUGAGUACUGCAGGGGAGGACUGGAAUUCCUGGUGUAGCGGUGAAAUGCGCAGAUAUCAGGAGGAACACCGGUGGCGAAGGCGGGUCUCUGGGCCGAUACUGACGCUGAGGAGCGAAAGCGUGGGGAGCGAACAGG